rnacentral:rRNA from 1 species
GACGAACGCUGGCGGCGUGCCUAAUACAUGCAAGUAGAACGCUGAAGGAGGAGCUUGCUUCUCUGGAUGAGUUGCGAACGGGUGAGUAACGCGUAGGUAACCUGCCUGGUAGCGGGGGAUAACUAUUGGAAACGAUAGCUAAUACCGCAUAAUAGUAGAUGUCGCAUGACAUUUGCUUAAAAGGUGCAAUUGCAUCACUACCAGAUGGACCUGCGUUGUAUUAGCUAGUUGGUGAGGUAACGGCUCACCAAGGCAACGAUACAUAGCCGACCUGAGAGGGUGAUCGGCCACACUGGGACUGAGACACGGCCCAGACGCCUACGGGAGGCAGCAGUAGGGAAUCUUCGGCAAUGGACGGAAGUCUGACCGAGCAACGCCGCGUGAGUGAAGAAGGUUUUCGGAUCGUAAAGCUCUGUUGUAAGAGAAGAACGAGUGUGAGAGUGGAAAGUUCACACUGUGACGGUAUCUUACCAGAAAGGGACGGCUAACUACGUG